CUGCUGCUAAGGUUUCCACUAUAGAUGCAAGAAAAAGAAGUCCUCGCGCUGUCUGUCUGUUUGGUUGUGGCAGCCAAGAAUGAAUGGGGAAAUAAAGGA
rnacentral:snoRNA from 1 species